rnacentral:rRNA from 1 species
UGAUCCAGAGUACCACGGGACACGUGAAACCCUGUGGGAAGCAGGAGGGACCAUCCUCCAAGGCUAAAUACUACUUAGUGACCGAUAGCGCAUAGUACCGUGAGGGAAAGGUGAAAAGAACCCCGGGAGGGGAGUGAAAUAGAACCUGAAACCCUGUGCUUACAAGCUGUGGGAGCACUUUAUAUGUGUGACCGCGUACUUUUUGUAGAACGGGCCAACGAGUUACGACAGUAAGCAAGGUUAAGUACUUAAGGUAUGGAGCCGUAGUGAAAGCGAGUCUUAAAUGGGCGUUAAGUUUUCUGUCGUAGACCCGAAACCGGGCGACCUACCCAUGAGCAGGAUGAAGCGAAAGUAAAAUUUCGUGGAGGUCCGAACCCACGAGCGUUGAAAAGCUCGGGGAUGACUUGUGGGUAGCGGUGAAAUUCCAAUCGAGCCCGGAGAUAGCUGGUUCUCCCCGAAAUAGCUUUAGGGCUAGCCUCAAGGUUGAGAAAUACGGAGGUAGAGCACUGAAUAUCCUAGGGGGCAUUGCGCUUACCGAAGAUUAUCAAACUCCGAAUGCCGUUAUUUUAUACUUGGGAGUCAGACUGUGGGUAAUAAGAUUCAUAGUCGAGAGGGCAACAGCCCAGAUCGUCAGCUAAGGUCCCUAAAUGUAAGUUAAGUGGUAAAGGAUGUGGGAUUGCAUAGACAACCAGGAUGUUGGCUUAGAAGCAGCCACUCAUUUAAAGAGUGCGUAAUAGCUCACUGGUCGAGUGAUCCUGCGCCGAAGAUUACCGGGGCUAAAACUUACUACCGAAGCUACGAUAUCAUUUAUGAUAGGUAGGGGAGCUUCCUAUGCAGGCUGAAGCAUGACCGUAAGGACAUGUGGACAGUAUAGGAGUGAGAAUGUUGGCAUGAGUAGCGAGACGUGGGUGAGAAUCCCACGGGCCGUAAACCCAAGGUUUCCAGGGGAAGGUUCGUCCGCCCUGGGUUAGUCGGGACCUAAGCCGAGGCCGAAAGGCGUAGGUGAUGGACAACAGGUUGAGAUUCCUGUACCACCGAUAAUCGCUUGAGAGAAGGAAUGACACAGUAGGAUAAGCUAACCACACUGUUGGUUAUGUGUGGCUAAGUACUGAGGCAGUCAAGGUAGGCAAAUCCGCCUUGAUAAUGCUGGGGUACGAUGGGGAGCGAAAUUAAGUAGCGAAGUAGCUGAUUUCACACUGUCGAGAAAAGUUUCUAUCGAGAUUAAAGGUGCCCGUACCGCAAACCGACACAGGUGGGUGAGGAGAGUAUCCUAAGGCCAGCGAGAGAACUGUUGUUAAGGAACUCGGCAAAAUGACCCCGUAACUUAGGGAGAAGGGGUGCCACGUUAGGGUUAACGCCCGAGGUGGCCGCAGAGAAUAGGCCCAAGCGACUGUUUACCAAAAACACAGGUUUCUGCUAAGUCGCAAGACGAUGUAUAGAAGCCCCAGUAAACGGCGGCCGUAACUAUAACGGUCCUAAGGUAGCGAAAUUCCUUGUCGGGUAAGUUCCGACCCGCACGAAAGGCGUAACGAUUUGGGCACUGUCUCAACAACAGACUCGGUGAAAUUGUAAUCCCGGUGAAGAUGCCGGGUACCUGCGACAGGACGGAAAGACCCCAUGGAGCUUUACUGUAGCUUGACAUUGAAUUUUGGUGCUACAUGUACAGGAUAGGUGGGAGGCUAUGAAGUCGGGACGCCAGUCUCGGCGGAGCCAUCCUUGGGAUACCACCCUUGUAGUACUGAGAUUCUAACCAGAUACCUUGAAUCAGGUAUUGGGACACUGUCAGGUGGGCAGUUUGACUGGGGCGGUCGCCUCCCAAAGAGUAACGGAGGCGCUCAAAGGUUCUCUCAGCACGGUCGGAAAUCGUGCGUAGAGUGUAAAGGCAGAAGAGAGCUUGAUUGCAAGACAUACAGGUCGAGCAAGGACGAAAGUCGGACUUAGUGAUCCGGUGGUUCCGCAUGGAAGGGCCAUCGCUCAACGGAUAAAAGCUACCCUGGGGAUAACAGGCUUAUCUCCCCCAAGAGUCCACAUCGACGGGGAGGUUUGGCACCUCGAUGUCGGCUCAUCACAUCCUGGGGCUGUAGUAGGUCCCAAGGGUUGGGCUGUUCGCCCAUUAAAGUGGUACGCGAGCUGGGUUCAGAACGUCGUGAGACAGUUCGGUCCCUAUCCGUCGCAGGCGUAGGAAAUUUGAGGAGACCUGUCCUUAGUACGAGAGGACCGGGAUGGACGUACCUCUGGUGUACCAGUUGUUCUGCCAAGGGCAUGGCUGGGUAGCUAUGUACGGAAUGGAUAAGCGCUGAAAGCAUCUAAGCGCGAAGCCAACUUCAAGAUAAGAUUUCCCACCGUAAGGGUAAGAUCCCAGGAAGACUACCUGGUUGAUAGGUCAAAGGUGUAAGUGCAGCAAUG